rnacentral:misc_RNA from 1 species
AUAAAUAUAUCUGACCACCAGCGAAGCGAAAGCGAGCAGAUAUUACGACAUGCACGUAUUUCCAUAAAUAAUUCUUAGAAUGUUCUAUUCUAACCUUAAGUACUAGUUUGAUGACAAGAAAAAUUGAAUGGAUCUAUGGACGGAUCGAUGGGCGAUGUCGAUGGAGAGCCCAGAGAGCCGGGCAUGUAUCUUCUCCAUCGCCGAGUUAAUAACACAACAUGAGUCUCGACCGAUCGACCCGCAAGCCGUUGUGCACACGCGCGCGCGCGUGCCGACCGAUCCAGCCCAACUAGACACCGGCAGCGGGCACCAUGCACACGCGCAGCGUGAACGCGACGACCACGGACGCCACGGCCACCACCAUCCCCCACUUCUGCGCGCUGCUGGCCACCGCCGCCGCUUUCUCGCCGCCGGGCCUCGCCACGAUGGAGAACAUGGACAGGCCGAGGCUGGAGAAGAAGCCGAGGACGAUGAACGCCAUGUCGGCGCCGUACAGCAGGGCCGGCGGGGGCAGCGCGGCGCCCGGCUGCCGCUGCUGGCUGGGGAGGUUGACGAACAGCACGAGCGAGGCGGACGCGGCGAAGAGGCAGACGGUCUGCACGGCCUUGCCCACGCGCUUGGACUCCGCGUCCUGCUGCUGGUCGCUGCCCGGAUCCUCCUCGUGGCCCGCCGCCUCGAUGUCGAUCGAGUGGCCGGCCGCGGUCGGCGUCGUGCCCGGCGGUGCGGCAGCAGGCGCCGCAGCCGCUUCUGGUGCUGUCGUCGGCGGAGGAGGAGGAGGAGCAGAGGC